UCGUUCCCGAAAAAAACACAA
rnacentral:piRNA from 1 species